rnacentral:rRNA from 1 species
GACGAACGCUGGCGGCGUGCUUAACACAUGCAAGUCGAGCGGUAAGGCUCCUUCGGGAGUACACGAGCGGCGAACGGGUGAGUAAUGCAUCGGAACGUGCCCGGUAGUGGGGGAUCACUGCUCGAAAGAGCUGCUAAUACCGCAUACGACCUGAGGGUGAAAGGGGGGGAUCGCAAGACCUCUCGCUAUCGGAGCGGCCGAUGUCGGAUUAGCUAGUUGGUGGGGUAAAGGCCCACCAAGGCAACGAUCCGUAGCUGGUCUGAGAGGACGACCAGCCACACUGGGACUGAGACACGGCCAAGAAUCCUAAGGGAGGCAGCAGUGGGGAAUUUUGGACAAUGGACGCAAGUCUGAUCCAGCCAUGCCGCGUGCGGGAAGAAGGCCUUCGGGUUGUAAACCGCUUUUGUCAGGGAAGAAAUCUUCUGGACUAAUACUCUGGGAGGAUGACGGUACCUGAAGAAUAAGCACCGGCUAACUACGUGCCAGCCGCCGCAGUAACAC